GAUGAACGCUGGCGGCGUGCCUAAUACAUGCCAGUCGAGCGAACAGACGAGGAUCUUUCUCCUCUCACGUUAGCGGCGGACGGGCGAGUAACACGUGGAUAACCUACCUAUCAUACUGGGAUAACUUCGGGAAACCGGAGCUAAUACCGGAUAAUAUAUUGAACUGCACGGCUCACUAGUGAAAGACGGUUUUGCUGUCACUUAUAGAUGGAUCCGCGCCGCAUUAGCUAGUUGGUAAGGUCACGGCUUACCAAGGCAACGAUGCGUAGCCGACGUGAGAGGGGGGUCGGCCACACUGGAACGGAGCUGCGGUACAGACUACUACGGGAGGCAGCGGAAGGGAAUCUUACGCAAGGGGAGGAAGCCUGGCGGAGCAACGCCGAGUGAGUGGUGAGAGGAUUCGGAUCGGAAAUCUCAGUUAUUAGGGAGGAGCAAAUGUGUAAGUAACGAUGCACGUCUUGACGGUACCUAAUCAGAAAGGCACGGCUAACUCCGUG
rnacentral:rRNA from 1 species